CUGACAGGGGCAGAAGGAGGGAGGCAACAGACAAAAGCAGAAAGCGUCUGCAUAUCCCUCGUGGCUCUAAUUUCCUGCCUUACGCUGGGAAACGAGCUGAGCCGCUGGGCCUCUCCGUUAUGCUUAGCUCUGCAGCUCGGACAUCAUCUUUACACUCAGCUGUUCCUGGGCAUAAUGCUCCACACAAUGACCCUGCAGAUCCCCAAGGAGUCCACCUGCUUGGAACUGCAGGCAACAAACACAAACGAGAAAGAAGGAAGAAAGGAUUCUUGGAUUUCACAGGCUUCCACAGGCUUCAUUAAAACACGUUCUGCUGUGGAGCACAGCUGCAAGCAUUUCACCUGGGCAAAAAAGGGGUGGAGCCUGGCUCCAGCCCUCCCCACCCUCGUUUAAGGGCUGCCUGUCUAAGGGGAAGAAUCUCUACUGGGAGAUCUGCUCUGUGCUAAUACUUUCUGAGUCCUGUUCUUCAGAAAGAGCUCUUUGUUUACUAGCUUGAGUCCUUCCCCAUUCUUAGGAAAAUUAAAACACAGGAAAGCAGCUGGAUCAGCUACUGCCUUUCACUACAGUUACCAUUUUAGGUUAUGGAUCAAGGUUGAACUGUACAGAGAGAGUGCAGCCACAAGGCUCUGGCUGUGCCGGGCCUCCCACCAGCCUGGGCCCCAAAGCAGCCCCAACUGUGCCUGGUCCUCCUCCAUCCUGGGCCCCAAGAGCCUGGCUGUGCCGGGGCUCCCUUUGGUCUGGGCCAAGAGCAGGCCUCAACUGUGCCAGGCCCCCCUCCAGCCCAGGCCCCAAAGCAGCCCCAACUGUGCCAGGCACCUUUCCAGCUCGGGCCCCAAGCAGCCCCAACUGUGCCUGGUCCUCCUCCAUCCUGGGCCCCAAGGUCCAGGAUGUGCCGGGGCGCCCUUUGGUCUGGGCCCAGAGGAGGCUUCAACUGUGCUAGGCCUCCCUCCAGCUCGGGCUCCCCCAGUGCAACCCGAAAUGCACCUGGUCCUCCUCCAUCCUCAACCCCAACACAGCCCCAACUGAGCCUGUCCUCUCCAUCCUGACCCCAAAGCAGCCCCAGCUGUGCCAUGUCCUCCUC
ensembl:lncRNA